UACGUAGGGGGCAAGCGUUGUCCGGAUUUAUUGGGCGUAAAGAGCGUGUAGGCGGUUUUACAGGUCCGCUGUGAAAACUCGAGGCUCAACCUCGAGCUGUCGGUGGAAACCGUAAGGCUAGAGUCCGGAAGAGGAGAGUGGAAUUCCUGGUGUAGCGGUGAAAUGCGCAGAUAUCAGGAAGAACACCAAUGGCGAAGGCAGCUCUCUGGGACGGUACUGACACUGAGACGCGAAAGCGUGGGGAGCGAACAGG
rnacentral:rRNA from 1 species